rnacentral:rRNA from 1 species
GUAGGUGGCAAGCGUUGUCCGGAUUUAUUGGGCGUAAAGGGAGCGCAGGCGGUCUUUUAAGUCUGAAUGUGAAAGCCCUCAGCUUAACUGAGGAAGAGCAUCGGAAACUGAAAGACUUGAGUGCAGAAGAGGAGAGUGGAACUCCAUGUGUAGCGGUGAAAUGCGUAGAUAUAUGGAAGAACACCAGUGGCGAAGGCGGCUCUCUGGUCUGUUACUGACGCUGAGGCUCGAAAGCAUGGGUAGCGAACAGGAUUAGAUACCCUGGUAGUCCAUGCCGUAAACGAUGAGUGCUAAGUGUUGGGAGGUUUCCGCCUCUCAGUGCUGCAGCUAACGCAUUAAGCACUCCGCCUGGGGAGUACGACCGCAAGGUUG